rnacentral:rRNA from 1 species
UACGGAGGGUGCAAGCGUUAAUCGGAAUUACUGGGCGUAAAGCGCACGCAGGUGGCUGAGUCAGUCGAUUGUGAAAGCCCUGGGCUUAACCUGGGAAUUGCAGUCGAUACUACUUAGCUAGAGUAUGGGAGAGGGCAGUGGAAUUCCCGGUGUAGCGGUGAAAUGCGUAGAUAUCGGGAGGAACAUCAGUGGCGAAGGCGACUCGCUGGACAAGUAUUGACGCUGAGGUGCGAAAGCGUGGGGAGCAAACAGG